rnacentral:rRNA from 1 species
GAUGAACGCUGGCGGCGUGCCUAAUACAUGCAAGUCGAGCGAACGGACGAGAAGCUUGCUUCUCUGAUGUUAGCGGCGGACGGGUGAGUAACACGUGGAUAACCUACCUAUAAGACUGGGAUAACUUCGGGAAACCGUAGCUAAUACCGGAUAAUAUUUUGAACCGCAUGGUUCAAAAGUGAAAGACGGUAUUGCUGUAACUUAUAGAUGGAUCCGCGCUGCAUUAGCUAGAGGGUAAGGUAACGGCUUACCAAGGCAACGAUGCAUAGCCGACCUGAGAGGGUGAUCGGCCACACUGGAACUGAGACACGGUCCAGACUCCUACGGGAGGCAGCAGUAGGAAAUCUUCCGCAAUGGGCGAAAGCCUGACGGAGCAACGCCGCGUGAGUGAUGAAGGUCUUCGGAUCUUAAAACUCUGUUAUUAGGGAAGAACAUAUGUGUAAGUAACUGUGCACAUCUUGACGGUACCUAAUCAGAAAGCCACGGCUAACUACGUG